GACAGAGGUGCCAAGCGUAGGCGGAAUCACUGGGCUUAAAGCGUGUGUAGGCGGGUGGCCUAAGUACCUUGUGAAAUCCCACGGCUCAACCGUGGAACGGCUGGGUAUACUGGGGUGCCUUGGGUCAUCCAGGGGCUGCCGGAACAAAGGUGGAGCGGUGAAAUGCGUAGAUAUCAUUUGGAACGCCAACGGCGAAAAGCAGGCAGCUGGGGGAUGCACCGACGCUGAGACACGAAAAGCCAGGGGGAGCGAAACGGGG
rnacentral:rRNA from 1 species